GAUACCAGGGUCAAAAGGUCAAAAAGUCGUUCAUGCUUGCCAUGAUAAGGCUUUUGAACUUGGGACCCGCCAAACAUGAGAAAGUAGCGAUUUACGUAGUAAAUCAGCGGAUUUCGAAUGUUUGCAGAAUUGCGAGAGCUGCUUCGCAGCGGAGCAAUUCGUAGGCAUC
rnacentral:sRNA from 1 species